rnacentral:rRNA from 1 species
GAUGAACGCUGGCGGCGUGCCUAAUACAUGCAAGUCGAGCGAACAGACGAGGAGCUUGCUCCUCUGACGUUAGCGGCGGACGGGUGAGUAACACGUGGAUAACCUACCUAUAAGACUGGGAUAACUUCGGGAAACCGGAGCUAAUACCGGAUAAUAUAUUGAACCGCAUGGUUCAAUAGUGAAAGACGGUUUUGCUGUCACUUAUAGAUGGAUCCGCGCCGCAUUAGCUAGUUGGUAAGGUAACGGCUUACCAAGGUAACGAUGCGUAGCCGACCGGAGAGGGUGAUCGGCCACACUGGAACUGAGACACGGUCCAGACUCCUACGGGAGGCAGCAGUAGGGAAGCUUCCGCAAUGGGCGAAAGCCUGACGGAGCAACGCCGCGUGAGUGAUGAAGGUCUUCGGAUCGUAAAACUCUGUUAUUAGGGAAGAACAAAUGUGUAAGUAACUAUGCACGUCUUGACGGUACCUAAUCAGAAAGCCACGGCUAACUACGUG